UACGUAGGGUGCAAGCGUUAAUCGGAAUUACUGGGCGUAAAGCGUGCGCAGGCGGUGAUGUAAGACAGAUGUGAAAUCCCCGGGCUCAACCUGGGAAUUGCAUUUGUGACUGCAUCGCUGGAGUGCGGCAGAGGGGGAUGGAAUUCCGCGUGUAGCAGUGAAAUGCGUAAAGAUGUGGAGGAACACCGAUGGCGAAGGCAGCCCCCUGGGUCAAGAUUGACGCUCAUGCACGAAAGCGUGGGGAGCAAACAGG
rnacentral:rRNA from 1 species